rnacentral:rRNA from 1 species
AUUGAACACUGGCGGCAUGCCUUACGCAUGCAAGUCGAACGGUAACAGGUCUUCGGAUGCUGACGAGUGGCGAACGGGUGAGUAAUACAUCGGAACGUGCCCGAUCGUGGGGGAUAACGAGGCGAAAGCUUUGCUAAUACCGCAUAAGAUCUAUGGAUGAAAGCAGGGGACCGCAAGGCCUUGCGCGAACGGAGCGGCCGGUGGCAGAUUAGGUAGUUGGUGGGGUAAAGGCUUACCAAGCCUACGAUCUGUAGCUGGUCUGAGAGGACGACCAGCCACACUGGGACUGAGACACGGCCCAGACUCCUACGGGAGGCAGCAGUGGGGAAUUUUGGACAAUGGGCGCAAGCCUGAUCCAGCCAUGCCGCGUGCAGGAUGAAGGCCUUCGGGUUGUAAACUGCUUUUGUACGGAACGAAAAGCCUUCUUCUAAUAAAGGGAGGUCAUGACGGUACCGUAAGAAUAAGCACCGGCUAACUUCGUGCCAGCCGCCGCGGUAAUAC